CUUGAACUUUAUAAGAGGUCCAGCCUGCCCAGUGACUCUGUUCAACGGCCGCGGUAUCCUAACCGUGCGAAGGUAGCGUAAUCACUUGUUCUUUAAAUGUGGACUAGUAUGAAUGGCACUACGAGGGUUAUACUGUCUCCUUUUUCUAAUCAGUGAAACUAAUUUUCCCGUGAAGAAGCGGGAAUACAACUAUAAGACGAGAAGACCCUAUGGAGCUUUAAACAACCUAGCAAUUACUUCUAAAAUUAUAAAUUUCAGAAUACUCAUUCUUUAAGCAAUAUGUCUGCAAGUUUUUGGUUGGGGUGACCAUGGAGAAUAACACAACCUCCAUAUUGAAUGAAUUUUUAUUCUAAGCUAAGAAUUACUAAUUAAAGCAUCAACACACUGACAUUUAUUGACCCA
rnacentral:rRNA from 1 species